GGGGGUGAAUAGGUUCGACGUUAACUUGUUUUGUCAGAUCAGCAGGUCAUGGUUGACCAGGCCAUGUAAAACAGGGUCAAAACAACAAAAGCCAACUCCAACGAGAUGGCCUGGGCGCACGCUNNNNNNNNNNNNNCGGGAUGCUGUCUUUUGGGGCGCGUUUCGUCCCUGGAAGGCAAAAGACUAAACGGAACUUGGCCGUGCGUUGUCGCCUUGAACUUACGCCGGCCGAGACAAACUCAGGGCUAAGCCUGUAGCGGUUCUGACAAGCGGUUCACGGACCCGGGUGCGAAUCCCGGCACCUCCAUAA
rnacentral:tmRNA from 1 species